rnacentral:rRNA from 1 species
GAUGAACGCUGGCGGCGUGCCUAACACAUGCAAGUCGAACGGAGUCCAGCCUUUAAGACCUUCGGGUCAAAGAGGGGAAGCCUGAGUGGCGGACGGGUGAGUAACACGUGGGCAACCUGGCUCAUAGAGGGGGAUAACAGAGAGAAAUUUCUGCUAAUACCGCAUAAGCACACCCUGCCGCAUGGCAGAGGGUGAAAAGAGAAUCGCUAUGAGAUGGACCCGCGUCUGAUUAGCCAGUUGGCAGGGUAAGAGCCUACCAAAGUGACGAUCAGUAGCCGAGGUCAGAGAAUGAACGGCCACUUUUGGACGAGGACACGGCCCAAACUCCUACGGGAUGCAGCAGUGGGGGAUAUUGCACAAUGGGGGGAACCCUGAUGCAGCGACGCCGCGUGAGUUCUGAAGUAUUUCGGUAUGUAAAGCUCUAUCAGCAGGGAAGAUAAUGACAGUACCUGAAUAAGAAGCCCCGGCUAACUACGUG